GGUACCCACUGGGGAGGUAACCUCUCACCCUAGUCACGGCUCCCCCGCUGAGAAAAUGGACUCAGCCUGGUAUUGAGGCAUGCUAGGGUCCCAUGGCAAGAAGUUGGCAGGGCCAGGACUCAGGUCCAGGAUUUUCUGACCACAGAGUUUAGCCCUGCCACCCCGUAGGCGUUCCCCAAGUGCACAUUGGUGCCCUGAAUCAUCUCUGAGGCAGGUGUGUGGGGCCCUUUGGGGCCUUGUGUUUUCCAGGUGCCUCGUGGAGAAAGUCUCUGGCACUUGCCUUGCUCCCUUGAAACAGAAUAGGCCAGGCUCUCUGAGCAGAAACUCACAGAAUUGUUCCCUGUGUGCAUCCUUAGGGUCUCAUCUUUACCACAAGGGAAAUGGCAGGAAAGUGGGGAAUGUGAUGCCUCAGGCUCUGGGGAGGGGAAACCCUCAGCCUGUGUGCAGGUUCCACAGAGCGUGUGGGACAAGCAGCCUGGCCUCCCUGCUGUCCCCAGCCAUGAAGUCACACACCACUCCCUUGGGCUGGGUCUGUACUCACCCACUCUGUCAUUCCUUGGGUGGGUUCAGCCCUUGCUCUUAGUGGGGGAAGACUGAUCGGGUGGGGGCAGGAUGUUGGGGUGUGGGUGGGGCAGUCACUGCUGCAGGGCAGGGACUGACAGAGGUUUGUGAGUUGGACGCCGAACCUGUUGUGGAGGUGAUAUACCCACGAGGACACUUUUGGCCACAAGUAACACAAGUCCCCACUCAGUCAGUGAGGAGAUGCGAUGGCGCUCGUAACAAAAAGUGCCGGAGCAGCAGCCAUCUGGGCUGCUUGAUUCAGCAGCUCUAGACGCCAUCAGGGACUCAGGAAGAAGGAAGCAGGAGUGGAUGCUGGGCAGGCGGCCAGUCGCAUCUACUACAUGUGAGCCAGCGUGAGCUAGACACGGCACAAAGUGAAGGGCGUCUGGAGGGACUGCCACGCAGGAGUGAAGCGGCAGAGAUGGCGGGCGCUGUGCCACCGUGGCAGGGGUGCAGGCUGUGUGUUUUGGGAAACAACCGUAAUAGCUCUGCUCAUCUGUAAAGAAGCUGGAAAUACCUGUUCCUUUGACCAGUCAUUCCACUUCUGAGAUGCCAUCCCCAGAAAUAAUGUUUGGAAUCGUGGCCAUCA